rnacentral:rRNA from 1 species
GUGCCAGCCGCCGCGGUAAUACGUAGGUGGCGAGCGUUGUCCGGAAUUAUUGGGCGUAAAGCGCGCGCAGGCGGGAAAGUAAGUCUACUCUAAAAGUGCGGGGCUCAACCCCGUGAUGGGGUGGAAACUGCUUUUCUUGAGUGCCGGAGAGGAAAGCGGAAUUCCCAGUGUAGCGGUGAAAUGCGUAGAUAUUGGGAGGAACACCAGUGGCGAAGGCGGCUUUCUGGACGGUGUCUGACGCUGAGGCGCGAAAGCCAGGGGAGCGAACGGGAUUAGAAACCCUUGUAGUCC